GUGACACCUUUCAGUUGACUAGAUCCACUAGUUAAAUGCUAACGUUGUGCUUUUCUGCAGUUUGUUUUGUGAAAUGUGAUCUUAUAUUUUGUUGCUUUAAGUUUGUUUUUUGGCUGCUUUCUGUCUGGAUUAUUUUCCAGAGUUCAUGUAUGAAAACCUGAGAAUGUUUGGUUUCCAACUGCUUUCCAACUCCAUACACAGGAGAGAUAGAGAGACAAGAGAGAUACGCUAUUAUAGAAGAAAUCAGUAACCUAAACACAUCUGUGCUACAAAAAAAGUCACAGUGGAAAACUAUCUGGUUAUGAAACACCAAUUUUGGACUGGAUUUGUUUGACAACUUUCCAAAACAAACUUUUCCCUCGUGUGACAUUGAGAUAACUCUACUAAAAUGAUGACCUAUGUCACAAUGGGGUUUGUAUACAUGCUAACAAUUCCUCAGAUUUAUAAUGGUGGCCUGUCUCCUGUUAUAUGCUUCAAUAAAGUCUCCACUCUUUUUUUACAAUGAUAGGUAAAAUGCACAUCUAAUUUUACCACAUGACGGCCCACUUCCUCUCAGAGAUUGAGUACAAACACAACGUACAAUUUUAAUAUGGUGCUCUUGUUAUGAAGCCAGGCUUGUGCUUUCCUUUUCCUUGUCAAUGUGUCUGCAUGUAAGUGUGUGAUGGGUUGCAGGUGUGCUCGCUUGAUUGAAUGACGUGUGCGAGUGUCUCGGUGGAUCCUGGCAGCUGAUUGGUUCUGUAAAAGGAGGUUUCUGUACAAGAGAUAAGUAUCCAGAUCAUCCCAUCAGCUGCAGUGGUCAUUGGAAUUCCCUGGACCAUUCACAGCCAGUAGACAUUUUGAGCUUGUUUUAAAAUGUCGUGUUUGCAUUCAAUCGUAGGUUAAAAAAGUUUUUCACCAGUGGUAAUGUGUGUAGUCAGUAUUGGGUCAAAUGGCUACAGAAACAGCAUCUGGGUUGACUAGACUAAAGGUGCUCAUUUCUCUUGUAGUGAUGCGGAUUCUGACGUCAUUUCUGGUGCAAUGCUAAGGCACACAUUUAUCUUCUAGUCCAGGAAUGGUGUUUAUCUGCUUUUCAAAACUGGGUUAAGAUAAACCUGCUAAUUCUGUUGUGCUAUACUGUGGUGCAAAGCAGCUUUUCCAUAUAUCUCACUCUCUGGAGAAUCUUUUAGAUUUAAGAGGCCCUUAGGUGCAGCUUUUACCCUCUCGUCCUUGAUCACUGAUAUGUGAUUUGCUGGCAGAAUGAAGCAGAUUACCACAUGAGUCUUCACAGUCAGAGUUGCCCUUGGCUUGACGGGCUUAAUCAAGCAACAUGUCUCUGAGUUUAGGCCCUGUGUGUGUGUGUGUGUGUGUACCCACCAAUGUAUAUGUAUGCCCACACAUUCUCAACAUGGAAGUCUAAAAAAGAGAGAGAUCGUGUGUGGGUGGGAUACAUUUUGACAAAGUUCCCUAUUUUUCAGAAAUAAUCACUUGUUCCCUUUACAGAGACAAAGUUGUGUGACUCCGAGGCUGCUGGGAAGGCAAAGCCAUAAUAAAAAACUGUCUGUCUCUGUCUUUCUCUCUCUCUCCGUCUGUCUCUCUUUGCCUCUACCACUCCUGGAGCAUCGGACCCUUUUUCUUGUGGCCACUAACAAGGGGGUGUGGCUGUCACUGGAGGCGUUCGGGGCUAAAUUACCAUAUUAAUUAGCUCAUCUUUUGACCGACAAACACAGAACUGAAAUGUCACCACACUCACAUUGGCCGGAGGAAACACAAUUAGUGCCUUCCUUCUUCAGCAAUGGCAAAUUACAGCCCUGGAACUCGAAGUAGAGAGUGUUCAUUCAGUAAAACAUGUUAAUCCUUGUCCAUCUGUCUGUGUGUCUGGCUCUUCCAGUCAUCCUAAUGCUUGGUGUGUCUAUUUGUGAGGACCAGAGGAAGCACGUGAAGGAAGCGGAGGAGGUGGCGCCUUUUGGAAACGUUUGGAUGAACAGUUUUCAAAAAGGCUUGCAUCACCUCUCCGUGUAACCUGAAGAAAGAUCUGAAACUAAUAAUAAAAACAAUGCACACAUGCCAGGUUCUGUCACACACUCAUGAUCUGAGUGGAACUGCAGUUUCCAGAUAUUAAUUCUGGAUCAUUUUUAGGAGUUUUCCAUCCACAUACGACAUGGUGGGAGACUGUCUAGUCCAAAUGUGCUUACAACUGUAAAAAAUGCCUGUUUAUUUCAAGGUGAGGGCUGAAACCUAUCUUGAGCCUGCAGGAGACAAGUCACUUGCCCAUUUGCUCACUGUACAUUUUCUGGAGGUUUCCCAUCUGAAUUUCUCACAUGAGCUCAUUCAGAAAUGAUCUGCACAUUUAAAAUAAGCCAAUUUCAGUUCUGCAUUCUUCAACUAUGCUUCCUUUUUCGGAACGACUGCAAUGACUGUUUUAAUGACGUUUUAAAUGUAUUGUAUUAAAGGAAUAACUAAAAGUUUAAAGUAUUGUUGAGUUGAAUGAGUGUGUGCGUGUAAAAGUGGGAACAUUUUUGGGUAUUGUGUCUUGGUUAAACGGAAUUUUGUUUAUGUAAUUUUAUUUUGUUAAUUUAGAGAUUUUGUUUUGAUUUUUGGUUUUCUUUCAUUUUCCCUUUUGUUAGUUGUUCAGUUGUUAUAUGGUUUAUUUAGACCGGUGACCUGCCCAUUUUUAUAGUUUUGUUAAGCAUUGGAGUUGUUUAUUUUCUGUAUGUAACCCCACUAAUUUGCUGUUGUCCUCCCCUUUUUCAGUUGCUGUAGUCCGGUGGUGGCGGUGCUGGUGGUCUUGUCUUGCUGUGUACCUGGGAGCGGGUUUUUCGUCAAUGACACGUGUGCCCGGUGAUUUUUGCCUUCGUCCAUUCACUUUGGCCUCAGCCCUGAUUAGGUUUUCCCCCCCUUUUUUGUUGGUAUGAAUGAGUUUUAUUGAAAUUUUAGCAUUAAUGUUUAAUAAAAAUUAUAUGUUAACUCGGAA